rnacentral:rRNA from 1 species
AUUGAACGCUGGCGGCAGGCCUAACACAUGCAAGUCGAGCGAGCGGCGGACGGGUGAGUAAUGUAUGGGAAUCUGCCCGGUAGAGGGGGAUAUCUACUGGACACGGUCGCUAAUACCGCAUACUAUCGGAUGAACCCAUAGGGGAUUAGCUUGUAGGUGGGGUAAUGGCUCCCCUAGGCGACGAUCCCUAGCUGGUCUGAGAGGAUGACCAGCCACACUGGAACUGAGACACGGCCCAGACUCCUACGGGAGGCAGCAGUGGGGAAUAUUGCACAAUGGGCGCAAGCCUGAUGCAGCCAUGCCGCGUGUGUGAAGAAGGCCUUAGGGUUGUAAAGCACUUUCAGCGGGGAGGCGUUACCCGCAGAAGAAGCACCGGCUAACUCCGUGCCAGCAGCCGCGGUAAUUC